UCCGGAAGGGGCUAUCGUUGUUCGGAAUUACUGGGCGUAAAGAGCGCGUAGGCGGCUUACCAAGUUGGGGGUGAAAUCCUGGAGCUCAACUCCGGAACUGCCUUCAAAACUGGUAGGCUCGAGUCCGGAAGAGGGACGUGGAAUUCCCAGUGUAGAGGUGAAAUUCGUAGAUAUUGGGAAGAACACCGGUGGCGAAGGCGGCGCCCUGGUCCGGUACUGACGCUGAGGCGCGAAAGCGUGGGGAGCAAACAGG
rnacentral:rRNA from 1 species